rnacentral:piRNA from 1 species
UCAGCCAGCCCACCUUGCUCAUUUGUGC